UGGUGUUCCUGGCUUCUAUAAGAAAGCAGUUUGAGCAAGUCAGAUGGAGCAAGCCAGUAAGCAGCACCCCUCCAUGACUUCUGCAUCAGUCAGCUCCUGCCUCCAGGUUCCUGGCCUGUUUGAUUUCCUGGCCUGACUUCCUCCAAAUGAUGUACUAUUGAUGGGGAAUGUACUACUGUGUAUGUUUAUCUUAUUGAUUAUUGAAUAAAAUACUGUUUGGCCAAUGAGACAGCAAGUUAGACGGAACUAGGAAUCAAAGAGGAUUCUGGGAAAUGUAGUAGAGAAGUGCUGAUCCAGGCAGGAAGUGACAUAGCAAGGAGACUCAUAUUUAAGCGAAAGAGAAACAGAAAGGGCCCUCUUUUUUCCCCUCGGCUCCUGCUCCAAUGGCACGAUGUGAUCCACCAGCUAGGAGGGAUGCCAAUAAGGCGUCCGAUAAGCAUGACUGGAGAAUCCUGGGAUUUCAAUGUCUUUCUAUCCUCAAUGUGGCUGGAAAAUGAAUCCUCCUAUCCUCAAUGUGACUGGAGAAUGAGUGCCUGAUCCUGACUACUGAAGACCCUGCUCCUGUCUUUUAUACCUCUCUAGUGCUGAGAUUAAAGACCUGUGAUCCCAGGUCCUGAGAUCGUCUUUGUGUGAGUUGUUUCUCUUUUGGACUGAAUCAAUCUUGUGUAGAUCUGGGUGGCAUUGGACUCACAGAGAGUUAUCUACUUCUUAAUCCUUAGUUCUAGAAUUAAAGGUGUGUACCACUACCUCCUAGCUUCUGGCUGCUGGGAUUAAAGGUGUGUAUCACCACUGCCUAAUCUCUCUAUUUUGAGGCUGACUUUGCUUUCUGAAUCCUCAGGCAAGAUUUAAUAAAUCAUAAGUAAUACAUCACUACAAUCCCCCUUUUUAUCUAAUACUAAAAGAAAAACUACUGACAUAAGAAAAACUAUAUACAAUAAGUAUAUUCAAUAUAUACAGGCAACAAGUUCAUCGACAAUGUCUAGUUCAUUUAUAUUUGACAAAUUUAGAGAAAAUAUCUAGUUCAUUUGCAUUUUGACAAAUUCAGAGAAAAUCCUUCAUUAUCU
rnacentral:lncRNA from 1 species